rnacentral:rRNA from 1 species
UGGGGAAUAUUGCACAAUGGAGGAAACUCUGAUGCAGCAACGCCGCGUGGAGGAUGACGCAUUUCGGUGUGUAAACUCCUUUUAUAGGGGAAGAUAAUGACGGUACCCUAUGAAUAAGCACCGGCUAACUCCGUGCCAGCAGCCGCGGUAAUACGGAGGGUGCAAGCGUUACUCGGAAUCACUGGGCGUAAAGGAUGCGUAGGCUGGAAAUCAAGUCGAGAGUGAAAUCCAACGGCUCAACCGUUGAACUGCUCUCGAAACUGGUUACCUAGAAUAUGGGAGAGGUAGAUGGAAUUAGUGGUGUAGGGGUAAAAUCCGUAGAUAUCACUAGGAAUACCGAUUGCGAAGGCGAUCUACUGGAACAUUAUUGACGCUGAGGCAUGAA